GGACAUCUAGUGGGUCCUCUAAAAUUGAAGCAGGCCCUCGCCUCAAACUUGUCAUUUCUCAACGGAGCAAUGAGCUGGCCCCGGAGGUAUUGUCGACGUUGUCGCCAGAAGUUCAGACCGCCAACUCCAUAUUUCACAAUUUCUGGACGGAUUGCCGGCAAUCUUUUGUAGAGACAAGCGAGUACGAAGACGUAUUCACAACCUUUUGGGACAACCAAUCUCAUGAGAAAAGUUAUCCUCCUUAGUUUCGUAUUUUGGGAGAAAUAGUUAUAAGGAAGUCAGCC
rnacentral:lncRNA from 1 species